AGGUGACAAGAUUGAUAGAGGUCAUUCUCAAGGCAUAGAUAAUACGCUACAAGAGUCAGAUGAUGUGGAGAGUCCAAAUGAGGACCUAGAUUAGAUUGCUGUUUGUGUUUAAGCUGAGGAAAUGUUGGUAGAAGAAGGACUUCUGGUGUUCUUAGUUUUAAUGUUUUUGAGUUUUAUUAAUAUCUUGGGUUUCAGUAAGAUUUAUGAAAUUAUUGGUUGGGUUGUUAUGACUACCGGGAGAUGACGGACUCCUUAGUUUAUUUUAGCUGCAGUAAUAACUUUGUGGAGUUUUCAAUGUGGUUAUUUAGAACUCUUGAUAUUGAGAUUUGCUAUUAAAGAUUUGGGUUUCUUUUUA